rnacentral:rRNA from 1 species
UAAAGACAUUCCUUUUGUAUUAUGAUUCAACGAGUUGAUAGGCGUAGCAAGCUAUAAAGCGUUAAUAAAUUCUAUUUAGUUACGUUGUUCAUACACGAAUACAGUUGAUCUAUUCUUGUUUAAGCGUAUUGAUUACUUGAAUGAUUUUUGAUGGCUGAACUGGUGUUUGUUGAAAAAAACUCAGAUAAAACAAGAAUAGCAGUGAAAGGCAAAUCAGAACUGUGGAUAGCUUGUUUUCAGUAAAACUUAUUUUAGUAAGCCGCUCAAUGUGAACGUUAAGGUAGAGCUAUUUAUAGGAAAGGGGUUAUUUCU